AUAAAUUUCUAGAGCUAGAAAAACGUUUUUUUUUUUUUUUUUACGUCAUUUCUCAUCUCUCUUUUAAAUAAUAGGUGGAAAUUAAUAGAUGGGUUGUUGAAUGAAGAUUUUCUUCCAAAUAAGCUCGUAUAUAUAAUGGUCAUCUGAUCCAGAAUUUGUCUUUGGAAGGUAAUGGGCCUUUCGCGAUAAGGAGCUUGACUGUUAGGCUUCCCUGCGUAU